rnacentral:rRNA from 1 species
AACAUACCUAUAACUGUUGCUUCGGCGGGUAGGGUCUCCGCGACCCUCCCGGCCUCCCGCCUCCGGGCGGGUCGGCGCCCGCCGGAGGAUAACCAAACUCUGAUUUAACGACGUUUCUUCUGAGUGGUACAAGCAAAUAAUCAAAACUUUUAACAACGGAUCUCUUGGUUCUGGCAUCGAUGAAGAACGCAGCGAAAUGCGAUAAGUAAUGUGAAUUGCAGAAUUCAGUGAAUCAUCGAAUCUUUGAACGCACAUUGCGCCCGCCAGCAUUCUGGCGGGCAUGCCUGUUCGAGCGUCAUUUCAACCCUCAAGCUCUGCUUGGUGUUGGGGCCCUACAGCUGAUGUAGGCCCUCAAAGGUAGUGGCGGACCCUCCCGGAGCCUCCUUUGCGUAGUAACUUUACGUCUCGCACUGGGAUCCGGAGGGACUCUUGCCGUAAAACCCCCCAAUUUUCCAAAGGUUGACCUCGGAUCAGGUAGGAAUACCCGCUGAACUUAAGCAUAUCAAUAAGGCG